GCCGCUGCCUCCGCCUCGGCCGCCUGAGGUGAAGGGCUCCGAGCGCGACAAUGGCGGAGGCCGAGAAAGCGGUUGUUCUUGAGAAUGAGGUUUUCCUUGGAACUCAGCUAUGAGCUUACAAAAAGAAGACUGAAGUUUUUUAAUUCUCUGGGCCGCAAUCAAUGAGAUUGGUUAAUAAUGGACAUUUUGGUGUUUGUGUUUAUUAUAUGCUGAUGGAAAUUAUAUUUGAAGCAGUUAUAGGCUCUUAAACAAGUUUGAUUACUGUAUGGAGUUUUAAAAUACAGAUUUUUCCCCUAAAUAUGGAAAAGAAACCCAUUAAACUAAAUCAACUCCUAACGUGUACUGUAAUAAUAUUUCACACUGAAAUAACCUUUUUAAGCUGAAAAGUUAAAGACCUUCCCAAAUGUUUCUUUUCAUAAAGAAGCAAACAUACGUGAUUUAUAUGCCUUGCAGAAUGUCACACACAUAUUACUGGUAAAGUUGUAGUUAGAAACUAAUACUCAAGUAAUACAUGAUUUUCUUAAUAUCCUCCUGUUCUUUGACAUUUCAGUAUGUAGUGAGACAGGGAAGUGACAGGGGACAGCCCCUUUCCAGUUAAGGUAGGAUACAGGCCCAUGGAAAAGGAUAAAACCUUGCUGAGGCUUCCGGAAUGUAAAGGAAAAUAGGAUGCUUGUGGUUGAAACAAUGCAUAGAGAAAUUCCACCCAAAACCCAGUGAUACGGAACAGUUUGCUGACCAUAGUCACGUAGACAUACGAGUUUAAAAUAAAAGUAACCUUUAAUGUGAUUAGUAAAAACAGAACUAGCUUUCUGGAGUAAACCUAUAGACAACAGAUAGCUGAUCUCCUUCGCUGAUGUAACAGGCACAAAACCCCUAAACCUUGCCCCUCCCAGCAUGCUCUGGGACUUCUGCACUUCCCUUUCUCUGAAUAAAAACCUUUUA